GCCUAACACAUGCAGUCGAACGGUAACAGGAUUAGCUUGCUAAUCGCUGACGAGUGGCGGACGGGUGAGUAAUGCUUGGGAACUUGCCUUUGCGAGGGGGAUAACAGUUGGAAACGACUGCUAAUACCGCAUAACGUCUACGGACCAAACGGGGCUUAGGCUCCGGCGCAAAGAGAGGCCCAAGUGAGAUUAGCUAGUUGGUAAGGUAAAGGCUUACCAAGGCGACGAUCAGUAGCUGGUCUGAGAGGACGAUCAGCCACACUGGAACUGAGACACGGUCCAGACUCCUACGGGAGGCAGCAGUGGGGAAUUUUGGACAAUGGGGGCAACCCUGAUCCAGCCAUUCCGCGUGAGUGAAGAAGGCCUUCGGGUUGUAAAGCUCUUUCGCAAGAGAAGAAAACUUACUAUCUAAUAAAUAGUAAGUAUGACGGUAUCUUGACAAGAAGCACCGGCUAACUACGUGCCAGCAGCCGCGGUAAUACGUAGGGUGCAAGCGUUAAUCGGAAUUACUGGGCGUAAAGCGUGCGCAGGCAGUUUUAUAAGUCAGAUGUGAAAUCCCCGAGCUCAACUUGGGAACUGCGUUUGAAACUGUAAGACUAGAGUGUGUCAGAGGGGGGUAGAAUUCCAAGUGUAGCUGUGAAAUGCGUAGA
rnacentral:rRNA from 1 species